UACGGGGGGGGCAAGCGUUGUUCGGAAUUACUGGGCGUAAAGGGCGCGUAGGCGGCCCUCUAAGUCAGACGUGAAAUCCCUCGGCUCAACCGGGGAACUGCGUCUGAUACUGGAGGGCUUGAAUCCGGGAGAGGGAUGUGGAAUUCCAGGUGUAGCGGUGAGAUGCGUAGAUAUCUGGAGGGACACCGGUGGCGAAGGCGGCAUCCUGGACCGGUAUUGACGCUGAGGCACGAAAGCGUGGGGAUCAAACAGG
rnacentral:rRNA from 1 species